rnacentral:lncRNA from 1 species
GUUUUGUACCGACUGAAGGAGAAGGUUCAGGUUUCAGACAGACAGCUAAAGGCCCCGCCCCCUGGCCGCCACCUGACCCCGACCGUCCAAUCACACUCCGCCCAAUGGUCAAAGGGCGCCAAGUUUGUGAGGUCAGGAAGCAUGGUCCAAGCUGAGCUCCCUCCAACUGUAGCCACGCCCAUUCGCCAGCAACAGCCAAUCGUAGCCGGCCGUUGCCUCGCUCCUCCUGUCGUCCCUCUGCCCAGCUCCGCCCCUGCCCCUGUCGUCAGCAGCAACGACCACGCCCUCUUGGCCAGCGUUGCCCCGGUGACAGCCAAUAACGAGCUAAAGCCCUGCCCCUCCC